UCUUGUCGUUGUCGAGAUUCUGGAGAACACGGAAGGCAGAUUUUCCCAUAUGUUAAUUGUUAAAUAAUAAUAAUAGCGAGUCGACGAAAAUUUUCCCUCUCCGACGUUAAAGAGUGUGAGGUUGGCGAUCCAAUCCGUAUCUGCCCUGAAAACUAGCCAACUUAUUCCGCCACCCGUUUCCCCGUCCGCCUCCUCUUUUGGUUGCCUCUGCUGUCCACCGCCGCCGCUCUCUUUCUUCGAUGGUCUGGGAAGAGGGCUUUGCUCGAACCCAAACCAACUCGAUCCGUAUACUAUGAGUGAUAUUUUCCUGCCGCGCCUCCUCCUCCUCGAAACUCUAAAACUGGGCUUCGCUUUUUUCUAAAAACUUUCGAGGUAAGAAAAGAAUGAUUAUACCCCUCAAGGCAGCUCCUGUCUUCUUCUUCUUCACUACUACUCCUCUUUUCUUCCUGCCUUCUCGCCUUACAUUCACUCUUCCAUAACGGAAUCUUUUUUGAACAUUUCUUUUUACCCCAUUUUUGGAGAGGAGUUUACGUGGUGUAUUCCUUGCUGUCUUUUGUUCAUUUUGUUACAUUUCUGUUUCUCUGUCCGGGGUUCGCUGGGAUUCCCUUCUGCAUUUCUUGUUAAUAAUUUGCAGUUUCCUUUUCCUGCUCCCUCCCCAUUCCCCCUUUAAAACAAAAGAGAGAGAGAGAUUUGGCCGAAGGUCCUUAAAAUUUUCAGGGUAUUUCUCGCCUCACUGUGGGGGAAACUUGGGAAACUCUUCUCUCCAUGGAUUUUGAUUAAAUCUUUUUCCACUCGAUGGCUUUAUUCUUCGUUUCUUUGCAGAUCGCGGAGUUAGAGGGUUAAUGCGGUGUUCACGCUGAUAUUUGGCAUCUCUUGUGCCAAGAUCUGUUCAGGAUGCAGGGGAAUAUAUACACCCCUCCUCCACCGCCGCAACUCUCCCUUUCCAAUCGGCGGAUCAUUGAUAUCUCCGGAGCAUCAAAGCGAGUCUAUCAAGUCUGGAAAGGCAGUAAUAGGUUCUUUCUUGGAGGCAGACUUAUAUUUGGUCCAGAUGUUAGGUCACUAUUAUUUACAAUAUUUCUAAUUGUUACUCCAGUAAUCUUGUUUGAUGCUUUUGUUUCUCAAGGGCUGGUUACUGAGUUUCCACACCAUCUCAGCAAUCUUAUAGUGGCGAUUUCUGAUAUCUUCACAAUAUAUAUAAUCAUUCUUCUCUUCCUUACAUCUGGAAGAGAUCCAGGAAUUAUUCCUCGGAAUCCUCACCCUCCUGAGCUGGAAGAUGACGGUGAUGCCUCUAGCUUAUCCACAGAUUGGGCAGGAAAUCAAAGUGGUGCUCCAAGUUUACCACCCACAAAAGAUGUCAUUGUCAAUGGGACGGUAGUCAAGGUCAAGUACUGUCACACAUGCAUGUUAUACCGACCACCACGAUGCUCUCAUUGCUCUAUUUGCAAUAACUGUGUUGAGCGGUUUGAUCACCAUUGCCCUUGGGUUGGGCAAUGUAUUGGGAAGAGGAAUUAUCGUUUCUUUUUCAUGUUCGUGUCUUCCUCAACAAUGCUGUGCCUAUAUGUUUUUGCAUUCUGCUGGGUAAACAUCAGAAAAAUAAUGGAAGUCCACCAUUGUAAUCUUUGGAAAGCUCUUAUGAAAUCCCCUGUUUCAGGCAUCCUCAUAUUAUACACGUUCGUAGCUGCUUGGUUUGUUGGAGGGUUGACGACAUUUCAUCUCUACUUAAUUUGCACCAACCAGACAACUUACGAAAACUUUAGAUAUCGGUAUGAUGGAAAGAGGAAUCCAUAUAAUCUUGGAUGGGUCCACAAUGUCAGGGAGAUCUUCUUCUCCAAGAUUCCCAUUUCUAAAAACAACUUUAGGGCCAAGGUGCAAGAGGAUUCAUCUACUGCCUUCAAUGCCUCACUCUCAAUGGGCCGUGUCAUGAGCCCAGAGAUGCCAAAAAGAAGCUUUGACAUAGAGAUGGGUGGGAAGCGGCAGGCUGUUGCUGCAGAGGAGUUUGAAGAUAUACAGAAUCAAAUUGAGAGUGUAGCUGCUUUAGAGAGGUGUGGGACUCAACCGAGACAUACCAAGUGGGUUCAGAAAGGCAACUGGGAGAUCACACCUGAUUUACAUGCAUUGGCUGCUGAGUUUGGAAUUGAACAUGGCUCAACAGAUAGAGUAAAGAUCCAUGGGGGCAAUUGAGGUGAUUGUACAGAAAGACCAAUCUUGAUCAGAAGGGGGUUAUCUUCUUGUUCUGGGAGUUGGCAACAGGAGAUCUAUUCAUAUAACUGGAACUCACCAUAGAGCUAGCUGGACCAAGAGCAGUGGGAAGAUUCUGCAACUAACUACAUCAUAUGAGAGGGUCCCAGUUUCUUCUUAAUCUCUUAUGAGUUGCCCUAUGGUUGAAGAUUUCCUUGCCUGAAGCAAAAGGUGGAUUCAUCAUCCAGAUCACAAGGGCAGGGGACGGUUGGUCUCUGUGGUAUGUGGACUCAAACUGAUUACCUGAGGAAUGUCUGGUCUUGUUUAUACUUUUGGUGGUGAGACUCACAUGGACCAUACCUCCCAAAAGUGGCCCUUGAUCAAUGGGAUGUAUUUUAGUGACUUCA